GGGGGAGUGCCGGAACUGGCAGACGGGCAUGACUUAGGAUCAUGUGUCGCAAGACGUGGGGGUUCGAGUCCCCCCUUCCCCACCA
rnacentral:tRNA from 1 species